AUUUCCUUCCCUUUAUAGAUCUUUUAGAUUCAAACUAAGGCUGAAGCAUUUGGACUGAGAUGACUAAUGAUACAUAAUGGUUGACUACAGAUUAAGGAUAACCUUAUUGAACUUGAGGAGCAUUAACUUAUUUUAAGGCCUUUAAUGUCCCAAUUUAUCCCUUCUUAUUGAAGCAUAUAUGACAGUAAUGCAUCAAACUAUGUAGGACUGACUAACCUCCUUCGCAAAAAUCUUAGA
rnacentral:misc_RNA from 1 species